AAAGAUGCUAGGUGGUUUCUUCACAUUUGCCAGUUGGUGGACAAAGUUACUCAGUACUUGUGCUAGUGGGAGGUAACAAGUAACCUGAACGAAUAGUUGAGUUGUGUUCAAGAUGGCUCGGACACCACCGUCAUUAAAAGAGUUGUUUGUCUAAGCUGUAUAAUUGUAAUUGUAAAAUAUAUAAAAUUAGCGAAAUCAGAGAAGUAUAGCCAAUCCUAAGCCUAGAUAAUAGAGGAGGAUUUAGUUGGACGUAAAAUAGUCUAAUGAUGAUAAAUCCUCUUAAUACGGAAUUCCUACACCUGCUUGUGCUGUAUAGAGGAAAGUGAGGAUUCAUAUAGCUAAUCCCAACUAGUUUUGGAUUGAGAUGCAGAAGCUGAUAUGAUAAGAGGAAAUGGAGAAGUCAAUGGUUGUAGUAUUUCUUCUAGUGUUACCCUUUGCUUGCUAUUAGUAAGCUUCUGUGACUGUGAACCACAGAGUUAUCUUAGUAUGUUAUAUCUGCAUGACUAGCACGGCAACAUAUGUUUGUGCAUUAAUUUUUUGUUUACAUUGAAAUUACUAAAUAAAAUAGAGAUUAGCUGUGGGACAAUCUAUUUGCUAUUGGUUAUUCAAUGUCUCUUCUUUAUUGAGUACAGCUCUUUCUCUAUAAAUAUUGCUGGAGUAUCUAAUGUGAACCAUUCUACCAUACGUAUGAAAACCCCUUCGUGAAACAAAUUAGGAGAAAAUAAAAUAGGGAAUUUAGAGAACUAAGGAGACCACUUUGGGCUUAUGGGUGAUUUUGACUUCGAGGAAAACUCAAUAAAAACCUGGUUAAAUACUUCAAUGACCUUGAUAAUUCAUUACCAACCUGGAUAAACCACCCCCUUUCCUUUAGUUUAUGUUGUUAUGACUAAAAUAAAUAUUGGAGCUUCCAGAAUAUCGGUAAAGGAAGGAAGGUAGCAUGGAGAACUGCACCAUUGUGCAUCUUUUGGCUAAUUUUGAAUGGAAGAAAUAGGAGAAUAUUCCAGAUGCUGAAUAUUUUUAAAUUGCAUCAAUUUCUUUUUCCAAUUUCAUGUAUUAUUUUGGUGUAAAGAAGAGAUACCUACACGUCCAGAUCAUUGAGAUAGUAGAUGACUGUGGGUAAAUUUAUGUAUCGAUUUUUAAUACCUAUAUGGUGUGAUAUUAGUGGAUCUUAUUUUUUUUAUCCCCAAAAGAGAAAAAAGCAAAAAUUGAAAAGCAUAGGUACUAGAUACAUCACUCCAUAAGGGAGCAUGACCGUAACUCUGAGCUGUUCACCUCAUGAGUGAAGAUAGGAAAUCUCUGGGCUAUUCCAACUCUCUGAGCAAAAGUUGAAAUCAAUAGUGUGUUUGAUGCUUAUAAUGUUUUUAUUUAAUCCUUCCCAAAAAAGAAAUACUUUAAGCAACAAACACCUAAUGCUUAUAUCUACUAUACGCUUGUCCCAGCAUGCUUUUCAAGCACAAUAUUUUAAUCAAGACGUUAUACAUCUCCUGCUUUACGAAUAAUCAAAAAAAUACAUCUCUUCCUUUAUGCUAGUUAUGAGAAAUUGGGCUAUAAGUAGGGUUAUAAACCUUAAAAGGUCUUGAACUCUUUUUGCUCCUAACUGCACUAUCCACACAAUAAUUUCUAUAAUUUGUUGAAAGUACAAGAGAAUUGUGGAUUUUAUCAUUUUUUUAAAUGGAGAAUUGGGGAUAUGAUCAUUAGGAGUGGUAAUAUAGGAUUGCCCUAAAAUUCUGCUAAAUUAUUCUUAAUCCUUACUAAACCCAAGAAUAAUUAUGCUCGAAGCUAGGAAAACUCAUGAUGUAACUCAACCGAAUCUCACUUAGAGGAAAAAAAUCUUACUUUAGAGUCUUGAAGAAUCUUGAUCUUGAUUUUUCACUCUAAUUUUCUUUUCCUUCUUUCCAUGACUGCUAAGAGCUGUCAAAAAUCUCUAAUACACAUUAGGGUUGAAGCUUAUAUAGUUACAGUACAAAAACACAAUAAAAUCUUGAAAUAUCGCACCGGCACA
rnacentral:lncRNA from 1 species